CUCCGUCGUCUUCUGAGACUUUUCAUACGCAGAGAUCUCGCCCUCGUGAAUCCUUCGCCUCCGAUCGAUACCCUAGUUCUUGAUGCUCCUCUGAGGGAGGAGUGGAAGCGAUCGAGGCAUGGAUCGGAUCGUCGGCGGGAAGUACAAGCUAGGGCGCAAGAUCGGGAGUGGAUCCUUCGGCGAGAUCUUUCUCGCGACACACGUCGACACGUUUGAGAUCGUCGCGGUUAAGAUCGAGAGCACUCGGUCCAAGCAUCCACAGUUACUAUACGAGGCCAAGUUGUACAACAUUCUUCAGGGUGGAAGUGGUAUCCCUAACAUAAAAUGGUGUGGCGUCGACGGAGAGGAUAAUGUGCUUGUUCUUGAUUUGCUUGGUCCAAGCCUUGAGGAUCUGUUUGUCUAUUGCGGUCGCAAGUUCUCGUUAAAGACAGUUCUGUUGCUUGCAGAUCAGAUGCUUUCAAGAAUAGAGUAUGUGCACUCAAAGGGUUUUCUACACAGAGACAUAAAACCUGAUAACUUCCUAAUGGGUCUCGGUCGAAAAGCCAAUCAGGUAUACAUCAUUGAUUUUGGGCUUGCAAAAAGAUAUAGGGAUUCUACCACCAACCGUCAUAUUCCAUACAAAGAAAAUAAGAGCUUGACUGGAACUGCUCGUUAUGCAAGUUGCAAUACUCAUCUAGGCAUUGAGCAAAGUCGUCGGGAUGAUUUGGAAUCUCUAGGUUAUGUUUUUCUCUAUUUCCUCAGAGGGAGUCUUCCAUGGCAAGGUCUGAAAGCUGCCACAAAGAAACAGAAGUAUGAUAAGAUUUGCGAGAAGAAGCUUUCAACUCCUAUUGAAGUUUUAUGUAAAUCUCAUCCUGUGGAAUUUGCUUCAUACUUCCAUUACUGCCACUCUUUGACAUUUGAGCAACGGCCUGAUUAUGGAUUUCUAAAGCGCCUCUUCCAUGACUUGUUUAAUCGUGAAGGUUAUGAAUCUGAUUAUAUUUUUGACUGGACGAUUUUGAAGUAUCAGAAAGCCCAAAGGACAAAAUCUCAGCUUCGGUUCUCUCCAGUUGCUGGUGGGAUGACUAGCCUCCGACCGACUCCAAUGGAUGUUGACAAACAUCAAGUUACAAAUGCACAUAAUGUUCCUCGCCCUCAUGAAGUUACAGAGCAUAUUGGACCAAGUAGUUCUGCAUGUCCUACGGUUCAAAUGCAGUUCAAGCUUGCAGCUGAUAAUACUUUGAGUUCUGACAAUCAGCAAAUUGACAAGUUGAAGGUGGGAAUAAGCUCUGAGAAAGCACAAGCACCAAGUACAUCAUUUGCUUUUCCUGGUGCACCAAAGAAAAAUGUCAUUAGUUCCAAACAAUCAGGUCCAACUGAUACUUCACACCUUGGUUCAUCCAGCGGUUGGAUCUCUAUGAUACACCGCAAUACCUCAGCCAAAUGACUGGUGUAGGUUCAAAUGGAGGUUAGGUCCCACAAAAGAGGAAGCCUAUGCUACAAAGGUGGCUUCAAAUCUGUUGUUGCUCGAGUCGCUUCAUGGAUAUCAGGAUACAUAGUGUUUUCGUGUUAAGUUUUCAGGUGCCUGUCUCCUUGCUUUUUGUCGUCUUUACCAUGUUGCAGUACAGCUAUAACUAACAUGAUGCUGUUGUGGUAGAGAGCAACAUAUAUGCUUUUGAAGGUUUCUGACAAAGAUUCUGGAUCAAGCAACUUGAUGAAAAACAUGUCUUCAGUAUGGAAAACAUGAUGAACAAAUUUUCAGAGAGCACAAAAAAGGUACUCUUGAUACAUUCCAGGCUCUGCUGCUUUGUUGAAAAUUUAAUAAUGCUCCUCGAGUUAAGCCGUAUAUCUAAAAUUUAUGCCUGUCAGUUUUUCUGCACUUCUGGUAGUAAUAAAAACCUACUGUUAAAAAUUGAGGUCAGCAGAUCAAAGGAACCUUAUUCUAUAGCAACUAUAACAUUUAGUACAAUUACUCUUCUGGAGCAACAGAAAUGGAUUGGUAAAAUCUGGAGUGCUGGAUUAUCUUCAGGUGUAAUCUAAACAACGACAGAUAAAAACUAGGUCUUCAGUAUGACCCAACUGUCUGUUUAAUUUGUUAUUUGGAUGACCAGAUUUAUUUGUUACCAGAUUUAUUCGGUAUGACCCAACUUGCAUUGAUGGUGGAUGCAGUGCUUCCCACCAUAUCUGUCAUCACUUAACGGAUAUCCUGUCCAAGAUUCUAUGCCCAAGGAAAACUGUGUUUUCCUUUAUUUCAUUUAAUUAUUUCUAGAUUUGAUUCAUCCAUAACUGACUAAUGAUCAUUAUUUUCAACAGUAUCUUUGUCUAUUGUCAAAUUGCUUUUGGACUAGAUACUUCCAUAAAUAUAAAUGCAUAGAGAGAUGAGAUUUGAGCACUACAUCACAGGUAAACAACUCGGGACUAGAUUUAGGGAUUGGUGAAUCAAAUAAUUUUACUUGAGUGCCCAAGCCAAUUUGGGUGUCAAGCACCAAGUGUUAAUGCUUUUAUGCCUAAAGAUAAAGAAAAUUUGUUCAUAGCUGUUGAAAUCUUGUUGGACUUUAUUCUUUUCUGAAUUCCAUAAGCAAAGGUCACUUAUGCACUGAAAAUCUAUAUAUCCUGUUAGUAAUAAUUUUGUAUUCUUGGGAUGAUGGUAGGAAAUGACGUUUUUUUUAUCUGCAUAUUAUUAAUCUAGUGCUUUUUUCAUCUAUUUCUGGACGCAAAUAUUCUGUAGACCCACUAUGUCCUGCAUACAUUCAACAUUAAAAUCUCUCUGUAAAUGACUUUAGCUAGCUAAAUGAUGGUAACCAAUUAGGUUAGCCAAGCACCAUGUAUAAGUCACUUGAGAUAGAAAAUAAAACUUAUAUUUAGUCUUGCCGGUGACAAUAUAUUAUCAGAUAUUCAUCAACCCAGUGAUCAUGUCUCAUCUUUUCAAUCUUUAUAUAGAUUAGGAUUUGUUUAUAUAUAUAUAUACAUAUAAAUAUAUAUAUACAUAUACAUAUAUAUAUACAUAUAUAUAUAUAUAUAUAUAUAAUCUGCAUGACUUUAUUUAUGUGUUCUGGAAAAGCAUGUUCUAGAAAAGAAAACAUAGUUCGGAAAGAAGUUAGUUUAUUAGCACUUCUCCAAAGAAUUUCACAAUCUCGGGAAACAUUAUUACCUCAUAAUUUUGUACAGACACGUGAAUCGAGAUUUAAUAACUCAAGAUAGUAACAAGUAUUUUGAAGACACGAUAUGGUAAUCGUACAGAAAAAGAAGCACCUCUCUAAGCAUUCUUUUCAACUGUACAUUAUUACAAUGAUUUGUAUGCAAUCAUGACUGGAAUGUAGCUAAUUAUCUCAUUGUCAGGUAUAUAGAAAUUUUCCCUCUAGUUAUGCAUCCAUAUCAUUUUAAACAAUUAGAUUGUAGAUGGUGUACCUGACUCACACGUUACGUUGAGGAUUUGGAAUCUUAUCUUAUAAAUUUUUAGACUUAAAUUGUUAGUCUUAAGUUGAUAAUUUGAAAUCUUAUCUAAUAAAUGUUUAAACCUAAAUGACUAGUCUGAUGAUGAUGGUGUACCUGAUGCACCUUAAGUAGAAUAAAAAUAAAAACAUUUGUACCAAAGCUCACUUCCGGUUUCGUGAGUACAAUAAUUUAGUUAUCAAAGUUAGGCAAUUCUAUAUUACUAAAAAAAAAAUUAUACAAUAUGAUCAGGCAUGCUGUUGCUUUUCUCGGUCCUAAUAUUCAUCUGGGUAUAGACCUAGCUUAGAAAGAAAUAAUUGACUUCUUGGAAUACUACGUGCAACUUAAGUCUGAGAGAACCUAGUCGUUAGAUAUCAAAAGAACUUUGUUCCUUAAAAUUAUGCUUGGAAUGUAGUCAACGGCAAAAUAAGACUUCGUUCCUUAAAAUUAUGCAUUAACGAGUCAGUUUUUUUUAGUGUCAAAGGAUCUUCCUCGUAUCAGGCAGUAUUGGUAUGACAACAAACAACUUCCAUAUAGUUCCCUAAAUAAUGAAACAUUUAUUUCUCUAAUUCACAGAAGAAAAUAUAACUCAUGUUUACAGAGAUCGCCUUUCCAACAUCUCACCAAAGAUUCAUGACAAUUUAACCCGCAAAGCCUUUCUUUCCUAGAAAUACUCAAAAUCAAAGUAGGAAGAAUCACUUGCACUGCCCUUGCUUCCACUACUCCCAGAGAGGCCACCGUCAGUGGCCUUCUUCUCCUUGCUCGCAAACUGACUAUAGUUGAUCGGUUCAGGAAUGUGGGGUGGCGCCAUGCUUCUCACCAACGCCCAGUUCACACCCUCAAAGAAGUGGUGUUGCUUGAUUUCUGUAGCACCUCUGUGGUAAGCAAUUCUUCUUUGUGGGUCCUUCACAAGCAGGCCUUGGAUGAGGUCUCGAGCAACCAGGCUCACCAGUGGGGUUUCCGGAAACCUCAGCGGUUGGCCGACCACAUUAUGAAGCGUGGCACGGUUGCCUGAUCCCUUGAAGGGGGUCGUGCCAUGCAAAAGCUCGUACAGAAAGAUCCCAAACGUCCACCAGUCCACUGCACUGCCAUGUCCCUCACCUCGAAUGAUCUCCGGCGCUAGGUACUCGUGUGUCCCGACGAACGACAUCGAUCGGGCGUUUGUUGGCUCUGCCAUGAACUCCAAGGCGGAGCCAUUGUUGAUGCCGAAAUCGGAUUUGGAUUUGCGGUUCUUCUUGGGGAGGAUGCGAGGAAAGAAUGUGGAUGGCUGGAUGCAGCUCUGUAUCGGUGGCUCGCCAUCAAACAUGUCGUUGCCGCUACUGCCGCCGCUGCUCCCACUGCGAACGGAUGAGGAUUUGACUAGGGUUGGAUCAACAGAACACCGCAGCGAGAGAUCGAAGUCCGACAGCAUGAUGUGGCCUUCCUCCCUCACGAGAACAUUUUCUGGCUUCAAGUCUCUGUACACGAUGCCGAGCAUGUGCAGGUACUCGAGCGCAAGCAACACUUCAGAAGCAUAGAACCUGCUUCCUCAACAAUUACAAUAGAAUGAAUGAAUAAAACGUUUUCAAAGAUUA